AACGAGGCCGACCUGCGGCUGAGUUACCUGCGGAGGGAUCAUUACAGAAUUUGUCCGGGGCUGCGCCUUUUCGGCCAUCCCGGCAAAAACCUUAUCCAACCCCACUUUGUGAACCAACAAGGGAUGAAAAGGAGGGUCCGCCCUUCUUCCCUUAUUUUCAUAUACAUACCCCAGAAUGUAUCAGAAUGUACUUUGUAGUAUGCGGUUCGCCGCAAAAUCAAUAUAACUUUUAACAACGGA
rnacentral:misc_RNA from 1 species